rnacentral:rRNA from 1 species
UGGGGAAUAUUGGACAAUGGGCGCAAGCCUGAUCCAGCCAUGCCGCGUGAGUGAUGAAGGCCCUAGGGUUGUAAAGCUCUUUCACCGGUGAAGAUAAUGACGGUAACCGGAGAAGAAGCCCCGGCUAACUUCGUGCCAGCAGCCGCGGUAAUACGAAGGGGGCUAGCGUUGUUCGGAUUUACUGGGCGUAAAGCGCACGUAGGCGGACUUUUAAGUCAGGGGUGAAAUCCCGGGGCUCAACCCCGGAACUGCCUUUGAUACUGGAAGUCUUGAGUAUGGUAGAGGUGAGUGGAAUUCCGAGUGUAGAGGUGAAAUUCGUAGAUAUCGGGAAGAACACCAAUGGCGAAGGCAGGUCUCUGGGCUGUUACUGACGCUGAGAAGCGAAAGCGUGGGGAGCGAACAGG